GGGCCGUUAGCUCAGUUGGUAGAGCAGCUGACUCUUAAUCAGCGGGUCGGAGGUUCGAAUCCUCCACGGCUCACCA
rnacentral:tRNA from 4 species